AACGAACGCUGGCGGCAUGCCUAACACAUGCAAGUCGAACGAAGGCUUCGGCCUUAGUGGCGCACGGGUGAGUAACGCGUGGGAAAAUGCCUAUUGGUGGGGAAUAACGACGGGAAACUGUCGCUAAUACCGCAUAAGCCCUUCGGGGGAAAGAUUUAUCGACGCUAGUUGUGCACGCGUCCGAUUAGCUAGUUGGAGAGGUAAUGGCUCACCAAGGCGACGAUCGGUAGCUGGUAUGAGGGGAUUAUCAGCCCCACUGGGACGGAGACACGGCCCAGACUACUACGGGAGGCAGCAGUGGGGAAUAUUGGACAAUGGGCGAAAGCCUGAUCCAGCAAUGCGGCGUGAGUGAUGAAGGCCUUAGGGUUGUAAAGCUCUUUCGGGUGGGACGAUGAUGACGGUACCACCAGAAGAAGCCCCGGCUAACUUCGUGCCAGCAGCCGCCGUAA
rnacentral:rRNA from 1 species